rnacentral:rRNA from 1 species
CCUACGGGAGGCAGCAGUGAGGAAUAUUGGUCAAUGGACGAGAGUCUGAACCAGCCAAGUAGCGUGAAGGAUGACUGCCCUAUGGGUUGUAAACUUCUUUUAUAUGGGAAUAAAAUGUUCCACGUGUGGGAUUUUGUAUGUACCAUAUGAAUAAGGAUCGGCUAACUCCGUGCCAGCAGCCGCGGUAAUACGGAGGAUCCGAGCGUUAUCCGGAUUUAUUGGGUUUAAAGGGAGCGUAGGUGGAUUGUUAAGUCAGUUGUGAAAGUUUGCGGCUCAACCGUAACAUUGCAGUUGAAACUGGCAGUCUUGAGAACAGUAGAGGUAGGCGGAAUGCGUGGUGUAGCGGUGAAAUGCUUAGAUAUCACGAAGAACUCCGAUUGCGAAGGCAGUUCACUGGACUGCAACUGACACUGAGGCUCGAAAGUGUGGGUAUCAAACAGGAUUAGAUACCCCUGUAGUC